AUCCAGCCGACGAGACCCAAAUAGGACGAAACGCGCGUCCUGGAU
rnacentral:hammerhead_ribozyme from 1 species